AUCUAGGUGCAGAUGACAAUUGAU
rnacentral:siRNA from 1 species